rnacentral:misc_RNA from 1 species
UUAAGUUCAGCGGGUAGUCCUACCUGAUUUGAGGUCAAAAUGUCAGAAAUUGUCCAAGUUAAUGGACGGUUAGAAGCUGAGCCCUAUAUAAAGCUUCACAACCAAUGGCGUAGAUAAUUAUCACACCAAUAGCUAUUCCACAAAGGUUCUGCUAAUACAUUUAAGGAGAGCCGACCUCUUACGAAGCCCGCAACCCCCAU